AAGAAAAUUAUGGGGCCUUACGUGAGAGUCCAGUUUGGUAUGCCGUUAUAAAUUCAGCAUCAGACAAUUGAGAGGAACUGAACCUAGAUACAUAGUUUGCCAACAUGUAUCAUGUAGAUACUAUUUUUCUUUAGGUUUUAAUUGGCUAAUUUACAGUUCAUUGAUCCUUCUCUACAUGAACCAUAGAGAUCUUCAGUUAAUUGAGUCCAUUUCAUUCCAAAUCUCUGUAUCCUGAGAUUAGUGUUAAAAAUAAACUAGAUUCCCAAUAAUAAGUUCUCUUUUUAUUAAUAACUUUCUUUUCUUAUUCCCUCCCUGCCCCCAGACACUUGGUAACAAGAUCCUAAGCCAUGUUCGGAGACUCAUUCCUACUACAGUGGCCGUGGCUUGUGCCAGCGAACUGAACUCCUCAACCAUUAUAACAUCCAGUGUUAACAGUUAUUCCUCCCAUAUCCGUGGAGCAACCCUCAUUUGA
rnacentral:lncRNA from 1 species